AUUGAACGCUGGCGGCAUGCUUUACACAUGCAAGUCGAACGGUAACAGGCCGCAAGGUGCUGACGAGUGGCGAACGGGUGAGUAAUGCAUAGGAACGUGCCCAGUCGUGGGGGAUAACUAUCCGAAAGGAUAGCUAAUACCGCAUACGAUCUGCGGAUGAAAGCGGGGGACCUUCGGGCCUCGCGCGAUUGGAGCGGCCGAUGUCAGAUUAGGUAGUUGGUGGGGUAAAGGCUCACCAAGCCAACGAUCUGUAGCUGGUCUGAGAGGACGACCAGCCACACUGGGACUGAGACACGGCCCAGACUCCUGCGGGAGGCAGAAGUGGGGAAUUUUGGACAAUGGGCGCAAGCCUGAUCCAGCAAUGCCGCGUGCAGGAAGAAGGCCUUCGGGUUGUAAACUGCUUUUGUACGGAACGAAACGGCUCUGGUUAAUACCUGGGGCUAAUGACGGUACCGUAAGAAUAAGCACCGGCUAACUACGUGCCAGCCGCCGCCGUAA
rnacentral:rRNA from 1 species